AUAAUGUUAACAAUAAUAAUGUUAACAGUAAUAAUAAUAAUAAUAAUAAUAGUAGUAAUAAUAACAAUUCGUUUUAUGAUUCAAAUGACUCGGUCCUACAACAAUUGGCUAUAAAAAAUCAAUUAAAUAACCAACAGCCAAUACAAAAAGAAAUGUUGUCAAAUAUUGGAACAAAAAUAUUACUAUCUUCUUUAAAUAAUAAUUCAUUAAAAGAUCAAAAACAAUUUUCUAUGUUUAUAGAAAACCAACAAAGAAAUCACAGUAUACCACUAACAUCAGCCGGAUUAAUGUUAUGUACCAAAAUAAAAAAUAAAAAUGAUGAAAAUAUAUAUUUUAUGAAAAAUGCAACACCUCAUAAUACUCAUUUUUCAUCAUCACAUGGUUCAAAUUCAAACAUAACUGAGAACAAUGUUGUUAGACAAGGGGUUUAUAAUGAACAGGUAAUAAAUAAUCAGUAUAUAAAAAAUACCAAUAAUAAAAAUGAUUGUAAUAAUAAAAAUUGUUGUAAUAAUAAAAAUGAUUGUAGUAAUAAAAAUUGUUGUAAUAAUUAUAAGAGUAACUGUACUAUUAACACUAGUAGUAGUAGUAGUAAUAGCAGUAGUAAUAAUAAUAAUAAUAGUAAUAAUAAUAAUAAUAAUUAUAAUAAUAAUAAUAAUAAUAAUAAUUAUAAUAAUAAUAAUAAUAAUAAUAGUAAUAAUAAUAAUAAUUAUAAUAAUAAUAGUAAUAAUAAUAAUAGUAAUAAUAAUAAUUAUAAUAAUAAUAAUAAUUAUAAUAAUAAUAGUAAUAAUAAUAAUAAUAAUAGUAAUAAUAAUAAUAAUAAUAAUAAUAAUUAUAAUAAUAAUAGUAAUAAUAAUAAUAAUAGUAAUAAUAAUAAUUAUAAUAAUAAUAAUAAUUAUAAUAAUAAUAAUAGUAAUAAUAAUAAUAAUUAUAAUAAUAAUAGUAAUAAUAAUAAUAAUAAUAGUAAUAAUAAUAAUAAUAAUAGUAAUAAUAAUAAUAAUUAUAAUAAUAAUAAUAAUAACAUAGUUAAUGAUAUAAAAAAUAAUAUACUAAAAAAUAUUAAUCAUACAGUAGGUAACUAUACUAGUAAUAUUAUACACGAUGUAAAUUCAUUAAAUAAAAUUAAUAAAUCAGAUUUGCUUUAUAAUUAUAUUAGUAAUAACCCAUCUAAUUAUACAAGUAUAGACAAUAAUUUUUAUAAUUCUAAAAUAAUACAAAACCAAUCAACAAAUAUACCAAAUAAUGUAAAUAAAUUAUUAAGAUGUGCUACUCAACCAUUUCCAAGUAUAAUCAAUGUGAACAAUAAUACAACAGUGGAUGAACAUAUAGAAUAUAAAAAUAAUGAACUUGAUGAAAGAACAAAUUUUAAAAAUAUAAAUGAAGAAAGUUUUAAUAAUUUAAAAAGUAGUACAAGUGUUGAAAAAAGAAGUAUCUCAUUAGCAUCAAAUAAAUUAACAAAUAAUAUAAAAUAUAUUCAUAAUAAUUAUGUGCAAACAAAACAACAAACUGAUAUGCAAUAUGUUUUUUUAGACAAUCCAAAAGUACAAGAAGAUUAUACAAAUAAUAUAAGUAUUAUACGCAAUAUAAAUAAUAUAAAUAAUAUAAAUAAUAUAAAUAAUAUAAAUAAUAUAAAUAAUAUAAAUAAUAUANNNNNNNNNNUAAAUAAUAUAAAUAAUAUAAAUAAUAUAAAUAAUAUAAAUAAUAUAUAUAAUAUAAAUAAUAUAAAUAAUUGUAGUUAUACGGAAAAUGAUUAUUUAGAUACUAACAGUGUUAGUGCAGAUACAAACAGUAUUAGUACAGAUAAUAAUAGUACUACUACUACAUAUAAUAAUAGUAUUAGUACAGAUAAUAAUAGUACUUAUAUGGGGAAUAAAAUUAUAUCAUUAAAUAAUAAUACUUAUACUAAAGAUAAUAAUUAUUCUCUUCAUAAUUUAUCACACUAUGAUUUAUCUUUACGUACACACAAUACAACACACCCAAUACAAAUACCUAUAAAUAAACAAAUGAAUUUUAUGUUUUUUAGUGUCAAUGGAAAUGAUAUAAAUAACCGCGUAUGUUAUACUCCCCAUACAAAUAAUUUAAUGGACCUAAACCAGCAUAACAAUAAUAUAAGAAAUAUUGGUAACAUAACAGAUAUUCCUAAUAUAUGUAACAUAGGGAAUAUACAUAAUCAGCCUAUUAGAUAUAAUAGUGCAAAUAUACAAAAUAAAAAUCAAACUGAUUUGAACCAACUAGGUUUUAUAUAUCAAAGGAUGAAUUCGCUUAAUGGUCAAUCAAUACGUUAUAUAUGUACGAAUGGAAAUCAACAUAGUCCCAAUCAACAUAGU
ensembl:lncRNA